rnacentral:rRNA from 1 species
AGGGAAUAUUGGGCAAUGGGCGCAAGCCUGACCCAGCAACGCCGCGUGAGGGAAGAAGGUUUUCGGAUUGUAAACCUCUGUCCUAUGUGACGAAGGAAGUGACGGUAGCAUAGGAGGAAGCCCCGGCUAACUACGUGCCAGCAGCCGCGGUAAUACGUAGGGGGCGAGCGUUGUCCGGAAUUACUGGGCGUAAAGGGUGCGUAGGCGGUUUGGUAAGUUGGAUGUGAAAUACCCGGGCUUAACUUGGGGGCUGCAUCCAAUACUGUCGGACUUGAGUGCAGGAGAGGUUAGUGGAAUUCCCAGUGUAGCGGUGAAAUGCGUAGAGAUUGGGAGGAACACCAGUGGCGAAGGCGACUAACUGGACUGUAACUGACGCUGAGGCGCGAAAGUGUGGGGAGCAAACAGGAUUAGAUACCCUGGUAGUCCACACCGUAAACGAUGAUUACUAGGUGUUGGAGAAUUGACCCCUUCAGUGCCGCAGUUAACACAAUAAGUAAUCCACCUGGGGAGUACGACCGCAAGGUUGAAACUCAAAGGAAUUGACGGGGGCCCGCACAAGCAGUGGAGUAUGUGGUUUAAUUCGACGCAACGCGAAGAACCUUACCAAGUCUUGACAUCCUGCGACGAUGCUGGAAACAGUAUUUUCCUUCGGGACGCAGAGACAGGUGGUGCAUGGUUGUCGUCAGCUCGUGUCGUGAGAUAUUGGGUUAAGUCCCGCAACGAGCGCAACCCUUAUGGUCAGUUACUACGCAAGAGGACUCUGGCCAGACUGCCGUUGACAAAACGGAGGAAGGUGGGGAUGACGUCAAAUCAUCAUGCCCUUUAUGACUUGGGCUACACACGUACUACAAUGGCGUUAAACAAAGAGAAGCAAGACCGCGAGGUGGAGCAAAACUCAGAAACAACGUCCCAGUUCGGACUGCAGGCUGCAACUCGCCUGCACGAAGCCGGAAUUGCUAGUAAUGGCAGGUCAGCAUACUGCCGUGAAUACGUUCCCG